UCCACAGGCCCUCGGUUCGUAUAAUCCUCCAGAGGGCCUCCAGCACGUUGCGGUACCGAGCUGCCGGGUCAGGCUGGAGGCUCUGCAUCCGGGUCUAAAACGACAGGGGAAGAAAGCGCAAGGUUCUCUGUGGCUAUAGCAAUCUGUAUGUCCAGCUAUUCCUGUGAAGGUCAUGAUGAAAGACAAGCACCCUUGCGAAAACUGCGUCUUGCGUGGCUCUUGAAAAACUGCUUCUGGGAGACUGUGCAGAAGGCUUGGAAACCAGAGACUUGACCCUGGGUUGACACCCUUCCUGAAACAAACUGCCUGAAAUCUGUACUCACAGCCUUAAGCAGAGUGAGGUUACUCUGCACUGCACUAAGAUAUGAACGUUUGCCAGACAUUCCACCUAGCCCCUAUUACA